CCUACGGGAGGCAGCAGUAGGGAAUCUUAGACAAUGGGGGCAACCCUGAUCUAGCCAUGCCGCGUGUGUGAUGAAGGCCCUAGGGUCGUAAAGCACUUUCGCCAGAGAUGAUAAUGACAGUAUCUGGUAAAGAAACCCCGGCUAACUCCGUGCCAGCAGCCGCGGUAAUACGGAGGGGGUUAGCGUUGUUCGGAAUUACUGGGCGUAAAGCGCACGUAGGCGGAUUAGUAAGUUAGAGGUGAAAUCCCAGGGCUCAACCCUGGAACUGCCUUUAAUACUGCUAGUCUUGAGUUCGAGAGAGGUAAGUGGAAUUCCGAGUGUAGAGGUGAAAUUCGUAGAUAUUCGGAGGAACACCAGUGGCGAAGGCGGCUUACUGGCUCGAUACUGACGCUGAGGUGCGAAAGUGUGGGGAGCAAACAGGAUUAGAUACCCUUGUAGUC
rnacentral:rRNA from 1 species